CCUACGGGUGGCAGCAGUGAGGAAUAUUGGUCAAUGGACGAAAGACUGAACCAGCCAAGUAGCGUGAAGGAUGACUGCCCUAUGGGUUGUAAACUUCUUUUAACAGGGAAGAAUAGAAGACGGUACCUGUCGAAUAAGCCACGGCUAACUACGUGCCAGCAGCAGCGGUAAUACGUAGGUGGCAAGCGUUGUCCGGGUUUACUGGGUGUAAAGGGCGUGUAGCCGGGUUGACAAGUCAGAUGUGAAAUGCUGCGGCUUAACCGUAGAACUGCAUUUGAAACUGGUUAUCUUGAGUACUGGGGAGGUAGACGGAAUUCCUAGUGUAGCGGUGAAAUGCGUAGAUAUUAGGAGGAACACCAGUGGCGAAGGCGGUAUGCUGGAGAGCAACUGACGGUGAGGCGCGAAGGCGUGGGGAGCAAACAGGAUUAGAUACCCGUGUAGUC
rnacentral:rRNA from 1 species